rnacentral:lncRNA from 1 species
UGGUGUUUGUGUUGGCAUUUGUGGUCCCUGUGUCAACUGCCAACUGCCACGGCAUGUGACACUGUCAGGGGACUGUAGGUGUGAGGAAGGACUCAGCUGGAGGGCUCGUGCCACCUCACCUCCAGGACUCAGCAGAUCAGUGGCAGCCAUAGCACCCACACCUGGCCCAGCCAGCACAGGAGCUGUGGGACCCCAGCCUUCUGUCCAUCCAUCCAUCUCUCCACCAUCUCUCUGUCUGUCCUGUGGCCUCAGGAAAGCACACCUGUUGGGAGAGCCAAAGUCACUGGGAACCUUCAGUGCAGUGGAGGAGCCCGGGCCAUGUGUUUACAGCUCUUCGUGUCUCUGCGGUCUGGGGAGGCGCCUGGCAGAGGUGAAACGGACGUGGACAGCCAGGCCUCCAUGCCCCGCUCACUUGGCCCUAAGCUUCCAGAAGACUUUCGGUGGAGCAAGGGGGGCACAGAAGCCUCCUGUCCUCUGUCACUCACUGCCCCAUGGCCACUGUGACUGGCAUGUCCUUGGUGUGCGGUGUACGGGUCCUUGGCAAGGUGGCCCGAGACAGCCACUCUGAGCAGGAGUCUUUGCCAGGGGCAGGGAAACAGCCAGGAGCAGCAGGUGCCAUUACCAGAGUCUGAGGUUUGCACUCAACUCCACCACAUUCACCUUUGGAGUCUGCUUUGGGCCGCUCUUGCUGCAGGGCUGAAGUUGGGGCUGGGAGCAUGGAAAAGAAUAAACUGAGUCUCGGUUCUGCUGCCUGCCUUGCAAGUGGAAGGACCCGAGUUCAAUCCCUGGUACAAAAAAAAAAUAAAAAAAUAAAAAAACCCCUGAGUCUUGCUGCCUGUU